rnacentral:rRNA from 1 species
UGCCAGCCGCCGCGGUAAUACGGAGGGGGGGAGCGUUGUUCGGAAUUAUUGGGCGUAAAGGGCGCGGAGGCGGUCUUGUCCGUCAGGUGUGAAAGCUCGGGGCUCAACCCCGGAAGUGCACUUGAAACAGAAAGACUUGAAUACGGUAGAGGAGAGAGGAAUUCCUGGUGUAGAGGUGAAAUUCGUAGAUAUCAGGAGGAACACCGAUGGCGAAGGCAUCUCUCUGGGCCGAUAGUGACGCUGAGGAGCGAAGGCGUGGGUAGCGAACGGGAUUAGAUA